CCCCUCUCAGGAUCACACCUGGAGAGUUUCCAGUACUCUACCAGAUUUGACUAUGGGAGAAAGAGUCAAACAGAGGCAUACCCAUUCCAUUCCUAGCUUGAACAGUGGCUAGCGAGUGGAAGGCAUUCUGUUAAAAGU